AGAGAGAGAGAGAGAGAAAAGUGCUCUGAAUGGUAUUGUAUUUUAAUGGGUAGGUACCAAAUGUGUCACGCAUGCUGUGGAUAUGGACACCGUUCAUCAAACUAUUCAAACGGUGAUUACAGCAUGAGUUGAGAUAUCACACACGGUUGGCUUCAUUAAUAUACAUCAUCCGACACGGUACCGGGCACCGCGGCGGUACCCCACCACGAGCGAAGGGCCGACACGAAUUAUGCUCGCACGUGACGUUCCUCGCUUGGGCUCGAUCUACUUUGCUACUCUUCACGACCGACGACGAUAGGAAACCUCUCGUACUGCUUUUGCCACGGCGCGUUUGUUGGUGCGUCGGAU